rnacentral:rRNA from 1 species
UACGGAGGGUGCAAGCGUUAUCCGGAUUUACUGGGUUUAAAGGGUGCGUAGGUGGGUUGGUAAGUCAGUGGUGAAAUACUUUCGCUUAACGAAGGAACUGCCAUUGAUACUACCAGUCUUGAAUACAGUGGAGGUAGGCGGAAUGCGUCAUGUAGCGGUGAAAUGCUUAGAUAUGACGCAGAACACCAAUUGCGAAGGCAGCUCGCUACUCAAUUAUUGACUCUGAGGCACGAAAGCGUGGGGAUCAAACAGG